rnacentral:lncRNA from 1 species
AUUAAAUAUAUUAAAGACAUUCACCUUAAAUAGAAGUGUAAGAAUCUUCUAUUUCAUAACAUAUUGAACAUAAUAGGAAAAAGAGUGAACCUUCCCAGCAAAAAAUUUCUUGAAUACACAAUGAGCAGAGAUAUGCCAAGCUUUUGCACAAAACUGAAGCACAAGUGGAACCCACGGAGAAAAUCUCGACAUAGCUUUAAACUCGCCUCUCGAACUCCCUCUAACUUCAGCUAAAAGAACCAGCUUUUACCAAUUUUUGGCGACUGUUUUGAGGUGAUUUAGUGGCUAUUAUGACUGAUUAUGGGAUGGAAAUGAAGGCAAGCAACAUAAAUGAGUCAUGGAAAUCAUCACACGACGCAGAAAAAUUUGCACGAAAAAGGCAAAGUCAUUCUGGCCCACGGACGAUGAUGCACAAGCUAUUAAAAUUUGGUCAAAAAUGGAAGAUUGAUGCGAUUGAAAUGAAAAGCUACCAGGAAUUCCUAAUUUGGUCUCGAGUAUUGCGCAUAAGAAUAAUUCAUAGCCAGGAUAGAUCUUUGAUAAGUGGCCGAAGUUGUUCCCUUUAUUUAUAAUUUAUAUGUGUGUUGUGUGGUGCUACCCAUUUUUGAGGGUGUGCGGCUGAGGUCUCUCCCAUGGGAGGGAUCU